rnacentral:rRNA from 1 species
AGUACGCACUUCGGUGCAAUGUACGAGUGGCGAACGGGUGAGUAACACGUGAGAAACCUGCCUCGGAGACCGGGACAACCAUUGGAAACGAUGGCUAAUACCGGAUGUCCUCAUUUGAUCGCAUGAUCUUUUGAGGAAAUGAUCCGUCGCUCCGGGAGGGUCUCGCGGCCUAUCAGCUUGUUGGUGAGGUAAUGGCUCACCAAGGCAUCGACGGGUAGCUGGUCUGAGAGGACGAUCGGCCACACUGGGACUGAGACACGGCCCAGACUCCUACGGGAGGCAGCAGUAGGGAAUCUUGCACAAUGGGCGAAAGCCUGAUGCAGCGACGCCGCGUGGGGGAUGAAGGCCUUCGGGUUGUAAACCCCUUUCAGUAGGGACGAAAAUGACGGUACCUACAGAAGAAGCUCCGGCCAACUACGUGCCAGCAGCCGCGGUAACACGUAGGGAGCAAGCGUUGUCCGGAUUUAUUGGGCGUAAAGAGCUCGUAGGUGGUUCGGUAAGUCGGAUGUGAAAACUCAAGGCUCAACCUUGAGACGCCAUCCGAUACUGCUGUGACUUG